CGCUCUCUCGGCCCUAGCGCCAUCUUCCUAGAUACCUCUGCGCAAUGAGAGCCAAGUGGAGAAAGAAGCGAAUGCGCAGACUGAAGCGCAAAAGAAGAAAGAUGAGGCAGAGGUCCAAGUAAACAGCUUGUGCACCCGCGGAGGCCGGGAGGGGACGCUGGUACAAGUUGUUGGACUGUAUGCUUCUUGUCUAGAAUUUGUCUCAGUGGAUCUGGAGCUUCCAUCGCCAAGACCAGCUCUGAGAGCCUACUACCCACCUUGCUUAUGACCAAAUUGUACCUGUUGGUCCUCUGCCCUGGACCUGUGGCAUUCUGGACUAGUUCUGUUCUCAGUUGUGGCCGAAUGUGAUGCGUGUACAAUAAACCAUCUCUUUUGUGUCAGCUAAAGAA